rnacentral:rRNA from 1 species
AUGACAAUCAACAAGGCACAAGGGCAAACUAUUCCUAACAUCGGCGUGUAUCUACCUGAUCCGGUGUUCUGUCACGGUCAGUUGUAUGUGGCGCUUUCUAGAGCAACAGCAAGAAGAAACAUCAAGAUACUCGCUGUCAUGGAGAGACAAGGGCGGGCAGUGCAAGUCUACUAG